rnacentral:rRNA from 1 species
GGCGCACGGGUGAGUAACACGUGGAUAACCUGCCUCAAAGUGGGGAAUAACACCGGGAAACCGGUGCUAAUACCGCAUAUUCUGACGAGGUCUGCGGAUUUUGUCAGGAAAGGAGCAAUUCGCUAUGAGAGGGGUCCGCGGCUGAUUAGCUAGUUGGUGAGGUAAUGGCUCACCAAGGCUACGAUCAGUAGCCGGUCUGAGAGGACGGUCGGCCACACUGGAACUGAGACACGGUCCAGACUCCUACGGGAGGCAGCAGUGGGGAAUUUUUCGCAAUGGGGGCAACCCUGACGAAGCAAUGCCGCGUGGAUGAUGAAGUCUCUUGGGACGUAAAAUCCUUUCGACGGGGACGAAACCGCAAGGUUGACGGUACCCGUAGAAGAAGCCCCGGCUAACUCCGUGCCAGCCGCCGCGG